CCUCAACUCACUCGGCAGGUUCUGGGCUCAAUGGAUUGGUCUUCAAAGGACUCCAAAGAACUUCAAGCUACUCUGGCACCCAUACUGCAUCAACAAGUCAAAGCUCCGGGCCUUCCACCCAGCCGGGGCCUGAUGUCUUUCAGGCAUCCUGGUCCCCUACCCAUCUCUUAAAGCUCUGGACCUUCUACCCAUGUGUCCCCUACCACUAAGAAGACCAGGCAGGAGGUAACCAGCUCUGUAUUUGGCACUUGGCAUUGCAUUAUGAAAACAUGCAUUUCACAUUUGAUUCAAAUGGGUGACAGUAAAGCUGCUUUAAAUUUGUCAUAAUCUUCUCUCGGGCAUCUUGAGUCCAUGGGCUUUGCCACUGUGUCCAGAGUUUCAGAUUCACCAGAAAGGAUCCAAGAGUCUUCGGAGGAUCAGGGAAAUGCAUCCAGCUACAGCAGCCUCCUUCACCUCGUCCUGUGCAACAUCCACAAUCUCCACCUUCCCAGCUGGACACAAGCUUUAGCUCCCCUGAUUACAAGGACCAGGGCUCUGACGACAUACUGUACCUCCAACAUCCACCAAAUCAAGUCUGGAGUCUUGAGUUCGACUCAACCACAUCUUAAACAAACCGUGAUCAGUGGACCCAAAGGAAGUAUACUGUGCAUGGAGUCCAAGAUCAUGGAUCUCAUUAAGCUUAUCCAAAAGUGUUGGUCUGCCAUAAUCAACACCAGCAAAAUAUUAAAAGGAAGACAAAUCGAGAUCAACUGGCAGAGCGCAUCAAAGGAUGUAUGGGGAAGUUGGGAAUCUUGCCCGAAUGUUUGAAGGAUGUCACAGGCUAAUGUAGUUGCACCGUCUUCAGUGCUUUUCACUGGUGACACUUUCACAGACAUAAAUUACUAGGCUGAACUAUGUCCAAUACAGUUCCCUUCACAAACAACAUACUUUUUAGUCCUCUUACUUCCUACCCGUCACAACCCAGGAUUACAGACAGACCGAAGCAGGAAAAGAUCAUUUCCACUAUGGUUCAGGAUGGAAAUGAAGGCAAAGCUGUGCACAUCUGUGGUGAUGGAAGGAAUGACAGACCUGGCUGGCUACUCCGCUAAAUUUACGACAUAUAGCUUCAUGGAUGACAAGACCAAGAAAGUAAUUCAAGCUAAUGUGAUUUCGGUCACUGAAGCCACCAGGUCAAUUUCAAGGACUGAACAGCAUACUGACAGAGGGUGUACCUGUAGCGUUUAUAACUACUCUUGUUCACCAGGGCUGGCACAGUUAUCGUAUAAUCGUGUAACAGACACUUAUGGACAAUAAACGUGAACUCAAAAA